GACGAACGCUGGCGGCGUGCUUAACACAUGCAAGUCGAACGGAAAGGCCCUGCUCUUGUUGGGUGCUCGUUUGGCGAACGGGUGUGUAACACGUGAGUAACCUGCCCCUGUCUUUGUGAUAACUCCAGGAAACUGGGGCUAAUACCGGAUAGGAUCUCCUGCUGCAUGGUGGGGGUUGGAGAGUGUCGGUGGUGGGGUAUGGACUGGCGGCUUAUGAGCUUGUUGGUGGGGUAGUGGCUUACCAAGGCUUUGAUGGGUAGCCGGCAUGAGAGGGUGACCGGCCACAUUGGGACUGAGAUACGGCCCAGACUCCUACGGGAGGCAGCAGUGGGGAAUAUUGCACAAUGGGCGGAAGCCUGAUGCAGCAACGCCGCGUGCGGGAUGACGGCCUUCGGGUUGUAAACCGCUUUCGCCUGUGACGAAGCGUGAGUGACGGUACUGGGUAAAGAAGCACCGGCUAACUACGUG
rnacentral:rRNA from 1 species